GACUCAGUGGUUCAAUGGUUAAGCGUUAGCCGCGGAGCUAAAGGGUCCUGGGUUUGACCCCCAGUGAUGUCA
rnacentral:tRNA from 1 species